UUUGGAAAUCUCCUCAGGUAUUUCUAAGGUACAACUGGACUUGAGAACCUGGGCUAGAAGGAAGAAGGAAGAAAUCACAGUCUGAAAUUAUGCCUAGUUCUUCAUAUUUAUGUUUUUCCACAGGUCCCCCAGAGCCUCAGAAAACUGAGGGCAGCCCGUGUCAAGGGAACUCAGUGAUGGUGAUUCAUGGUUCCUGACUCCUUCCUAAACUGCUUUCUGGAUUCUCUUUGUCCACAGUCUUUCCUAGGUUAAUUCAGCUAAUUGGGAUGCUUCUCAGGGUCAAAGCUUGAACAUCAGCAGCACAAAAUGUCUCUCAAUAGCUCCUAAGGUAAUUGGGGACAGUCUCUACAACUACUUGAACUACUUAUUUCUUUCUCCUGCUCACUCCUCUUUCUGCUUUACUGUUUCCUCAUUUUCCCCCUGUUUUCCUCUGCAGCCCGAAGUCCAAAGCUUUUCUGAUUCCUGGAAGUUUUGA
rnacentral:lncRNA from 1 species